UAUCCAGCACUGGGAUAGCUGUAGCUUGGGUGCCGUUUUUGGGUUUGUUCGUGAUAGAGUUUGUUUAAUGUAAGAGUUUUGUUUAAACCUUUCAUUUGUUAUUUGCGAAUGAAGUGUGCCAAGGCACUUUAACUGAAGGUCCGUGUUUGCUAUUUCUGUCCCUGACCAGCCUUGACCACCCAUCACUACACCACACGAUCUAGCUCGAAGGCAUGACAUUUGUUUCUAUUGCUACUGGAGCAAAUACGCAUUGAGAAAAAGAAAAACAUGUUACUUGUUUUUUGUGAAAGCCUUGGACAGCAACGUGCUCAGCUUUGUAUUUGUGUUGGCCUCUGACAGAGGGUAAGGGAAUUGACAGCCUUGCAUCUUGAUUCAUGCAGACUGACAGUGAAAACUUUUCUGUGAAAGAACAUAUAGAGUCAAAGACGGAAGUCAUGUUGGUAAACGCAUCUGGAAGUGAGUCAUACAGAGAAACCUCUCGAGAUCUGAGCAGGGUCCUAGGCACCUGGGUCUGUUCUAUCAGACUAAUGGAAACUAUACCCAGGUGGACAUGAAGACAUGUUGACAGAAAUAGUAGCAGAAGGACAAGCCACCUUAAAAAUAUUUUAAUAAGCUAAACCAAAAAGUCAAAAUGCAAAUCAGGAUUCUACUUAACUAGUGUUUCCAUUUUUGUUACCGUAUUGUAAGACUACACAAGCACACCUAUAUUGCAGCUAGUGAAGAAGUAUGAAUAUGCAUGUAGCUUGUGAAUGCUUUUACAAAGUUGUUAAUUCAUUUUAAGUCAAA